rnacentral:lncRNA from 1 species
AUCACAAAAUGUAAUAUUAAUAAUAAAAAAUAAUCACGUUAAAGAGAAGUAAUAUAUGUGUAUAGAGAAGUGUAUAAUGUUUUAUACGGAAUGUAUAAAGCGUUUAUUAAUUAUCUGGUCUUUUUCCGUUGUUCCGUGUUGUUAAUGUUGAUUCGAUCGUAAAAUUAAUAAAAGAAAAAUGAUUGAUUUCGUUUUCUAUGAUAUAAUGUUACAUAUGUAUAUAAUAUUCAAAUUAUAUAUAGAUAAUUUCAAUGUAUAUGUAUAUACCUGAGUAGACCAGAGCGAUUUUUCGACGUCGCUCGCGCGGGAUCGAGAAGAAAGAGGAACGCGAGCAGAAACACGGCUGUCGAUAAAUAUUACACGGUCAUCGGGUUAUCGGGGAGCGUAGAUUGCGAUGAACGGGACGAUAGGCAUUUCUCGGGGGUGUCUUUUUUAUUUUUUUUUCAUUCGCAUCCUCUCCGCCUCCGCGCGAAGGCCGCGCGGCGGACGUCGAGAUGUUGGCGCGGUGAGGGCACGGAAUACCUUUCGACGAUUAUUAUCGCGGCCUGCGUCAUGUAUCAUGUCGUACUACAAGCCGUGAUGGUGGAUAUAUAUGUGUAUACAUAUAUACAUAUAUAUAUGCACAGAUUCGCACACAUAUGCAUACGGGAUCUUUUGCGGAGGCUAGGUUCCUCUACGCGAGGGCCCGUCCUUGCGUAAGUCGACGCUUCGGCCCGCGCCGGGCAUUAUCGACGUCGGAAUAAAAGCAAAUCGAUGGAACAGGCCUGACCAUUUGCUAUUUGUCGCCGAGAAAGAGAGAGAGAGAGAGAGAGAGAAAGAAAGAAAAAGAGAGAGAAAAGCUUCAUAAAUCUCCAUGCGCGAACGACGUGCUCUCCCGAGAGCGGGGAGACUUUAUGUCAUCCGGUCCUUCUGCUGCGAGAGGACCAUGCGGUGGAAGGUGAGAGUCUCUCCUUCCCUUCGUUCAUCAUCGGGUUCCUGUCUCGUAACCGGACCGGGGACAGAAUGGAAAUCGCCCGGUGAAAGCACAAUCGCGCUUUCGGUCGCGGUAAUAAUCCCCGAUAACGCGUUCUCGCGCCGUGUAAUCGGAAGGAUUACGACGAGGGGAUCGUUCUCCCAACUGCGCCGUUACGUCCACGUCUAGUAAUAAAAUCAGGAUUAGUUUAGAAUUAAAUGCCUCCAUAUUAAAACAGACGUUAAGCCGUUCAAUUUGCCGCAAACGGUACUUCCUUCUUUCAUUUACUGCCACGUGUUUAUCCGUUCAACAUCAAUUUAUCUUCCAUUAAGCAUAUUAGACUUUUCACGAAUCUGUCUUUAUUUAAUUAAAAUAUUUAUAAAUUUUUUUUUCUUUCUAGUUUUUCAGUAUAUUAUACAAAUUAAUGUGUAGUAUAGUGUCCUCGUACAAACUUGUGGCGAAGUUUUACAAGCUGCUUGCCCGAGCAAUGACGUAUUUCACGAUCGCGCACAGUGUCCUUGCGCAAGAUGGAAUUUUGUGGAUACGAAUCUCACAAUUGUGUUUUACAAAAUGUGUUCCGGUAAGUUAAUUUUCUAUUACAAGGACGCCUGAUUGCCCGGUCUCAUUCCCGGCGUGAGCGUCGCCGCAAUCGUGCUCGUUGCACCGAUGCGUAAAUUAGCCAGACAGUUUCCUAAGCGAAAUCGGCGUCGAAGAACGGUUUAUCGCGUAAGGACGACUUGUCGGAGACCUCGCUCGACAGGAUUUAGGAGGGGAUCGGCCGAUCGUUCCUCGAAAUGUCGACCGCCAGUGAUCGAGAUCACGCACUUCACGGCUGACUGCGUGUUCUUCUGGGUUAGGGAAUUACUCGUGCAGGCGUGAGCGGCAAACACCGGAGGCAACAAAAGUGAAACUCGCAAACUGAGAGGAAGAAACAGAGAGAGACAGAGAGGAGAGAGACACGUCGCAUCGUUCCCGACUUCGCCCGACCUAAUCCUACAACGAGAAAGAUACGAUCUAUGCAUCAUUGUACACGACAGUCGUUGAAAUUAUAUAAGAUGCCAUUUUCACUCUCGCACCCGCACAACGGCCACUGCAAAAAUGUUAAGCCGUUCUGUAAAUCUCUGCGAGAAAAUGAACGGAGAGUAACGAUUCAUUGUACUUCGGAAACUUAAGAGCUUCUAGAAUUGUCAUAAAUAGCAUAUCUCAAAUUUUAAUAGCGGAAAACAAAAGCACAUAUUUUUUAAAUAGAAUGUCAUUUUAAUAAAUUAUAAUAUUUUGUUUUGCUUUGAUUUUUGUAUUUAUUUCAUUUUUUCACUUCAAAUAAUUCAAAUGUGAAUUUAAUUCUCAAGAUAUUGAGAAUCAAUUUAUUUGAUUCAAACACUCUUCUUUCUUUUUUUUAAACUAAGAUACUUCUUGGUCAAUCGAGUUUGAUACAAUGUUGUAUCCGAAAGUAGAAAGUAAGAAAAUAAUGAUUUCCUGCACAAUACCUGUGCUAAAGAAGGAGUGUAAAUUUGUCGUAGAAGUUUGAAAAAGUCAGCAGAAGGAAAUACUCCGUAGAGUAGUAAAUUACCUUAGCAAUCUUUUGUCUUUUCAGUACAUCCGUCUUCACGGCCCUAUGGUCGGUAGUGUGAGUGCCCAUGUUCGCGACCCUUAUCGCGCCCAUCGCGGCGGAAAACGGUAGACGUUUGCUUGAGAACGAGAAACGUACUUUUCCCGGUUCUUUGGAGCUCUCUGAAGGAGAGAGGAGGGGGAAGAGAAUUUCGUCGCGUCUCGCUCGCCUGCAAUUUCGCGAUCUUUAACUAUGUCGGACUACAAUGUUCGCCCGUUGUUGCGAGACCAUACGGCGUCCUCGUGUAUGUCGCUCGCACGGAGCGUUCGCAUUCACACGACGCGGAUUCCCAUAUCAGAUAUUCAUCUUUCUCCGUGAAAGAGAGAGGGAGAGAGAGAAAGAGAGAGAUUUUGCCAUCGAAGACGACGCCAUUGUGCGUCCCAGCCCCCGUUGCCAUAAUUCCGUGGGACUCUCUCGUUACGAAAUGCCACCACGGGGUCCCGAUGCUUCCGUCCGUGCAUUGUGUCACGGGCGUAUGAAAUUCAGUCGGUGUCGCAAGAUAGAACAGCCCACUCUCGAUGUUCCGUAACGGUAGUAAAGCAGCAGCGACAGCGGUAAUUUUAUGUUGCCUUGGUAUAAUACCAAAGUCCCCGAGGCGCGUGCGCGCGGAGAAAAAAGUUACAUAAAACACGUAGGAGAUAUGAACAAUAUAAGGGCAUGUGCACGAGCGUGAAAGCGCAUUUCGGUACGACGAGCAGCGCGCGCGAGCGUAAAAUGAACGGAUGGAUAACGAAGGUCAGAACAGAAAGCUAAUUAUUAAAGCAAGCAAAGUUACUUAUUGUUUACCUGAAUGCACACGAGAUGGCGACGACCGAUACGGAUGUCGAGGCAAACGAGCAGUUGUAUAAGCGAAACGUAAUGGAAAUAUUAAUUCGCACGCAUACGCUUAAUGAGGCGUAAUUGUGAGCGGCGGGAAAUAAUAGUGUAAUAUUUACGUAACGUCGCCGCUAUUCAAUCAGCCGUGCGAAGCAGCUCUCUUUCCUCGUAAAUAACGACGAACGCGUUGCUGUCUCCGGGGAAGCGCGUCAAAGCGAUACACAACUUGCCGUAUUGUUUUGUACACCUUUCGCAUUCCGAGAGAAAUCAAUGGGAUAGGUGCCGUGUCAUUGAGCGGCGUCAAAAAGUAUCGGUUGUUUCAGAAAGAGACCUAAGAAAGUGUUCUUUGCGUAAAUGACACUAAAUUAUGCAAACACGCCGCUUAUCGCGGGAUCUAAGGAGCCUACUGAUCACUGAGAUCCGAGUGUAACGGAGUGACUUUACAGGCUCUGAAACAGGUUCGGUAAGUCCGAGAUAAGUCCCGGUAGAUCCUCCAAAACAAGCACGUCUGUCACCCUAUUCUUAGGGUCGGUUAAGAUCGGCCGUACAAAAAUAUCGUAAGAAUAGCCCGCUAACGAGAGUUUCGCACAAAUCAACCUCGGGUAGAUCGGCCGCGCGAUUAGUUAAUUCCGGCGACGGUAGGCGCAAUUACCCAACGAUCGUGCCGCUCGCGCGCGAAUCGCGAAGGUGAGACCUCCGAUAGCGCAGCGUUAGCGAUGCAGCGCGCGUUGCAACGGCGACGGGACACAUUGGGAUCGUAAUGUCGCGGGACAGUGACAUAGCGUCGGGAAUGCCGCGCGACCUUAGCUCCGAGAGGGAUAGAGGGGUGGAGGGUGGCGGGCAGGGAAGACUGAUUUAUAACGAUUUUAAUAGAAAUAAAGGUGCACUUCGCGCACGGAGAUAACACCCGGCGACAAUGACGCAUCGCCGGGAAUGCAUUUGGCGCCUUUUCAGCGCGCGCGUCCCGCGCGAAAUUUCCAUUUUCGCGCUUGUCGCGAGGAAAUCAGAGAAACGCGGCCGGAGAACCGAAAGAAACGAGAUACAAACGCUCGCGCGGUUGCGGUCUUCGCGUCGCCGCGACGCUGACUAAAUCACCCGCGAGAAUCUCUCGCGAUGCUGAAUGUUGCACGUGCGAGUUGGGAAAGCCAAAGAUCAUGUACCUUGAAAUUCUCCGAUUUUUAAUUAUCCGUACGGGAUACAGAAUCCUGCGGUUGCAUUGCAGCAGCACUAAUCUUGGAUAUUGCAGUGCAACGCUCUCAGAGAAUUUGUUAAAAUACAGAUAUGCAAUAUAAACAAAAUUUCUUUUAUGCAAAAUUGCAUUUAAAAACGAGUCAAAUAUAAUUAAUAUUAUAAUAAUAGAUGUUAUUAAAUGUGCAUUGCAGAUUCACUUGCAAGUUCACAAUUAAUUUCUUAACUUUUGAUUUAAAUUAAAAACCUUAUCGGUAGAAAAAAUUUUUUUUCAUUGUAACAUUGCAGUAAUUUUACAACAUUCUGCAAAGGCUUGCAAACGUUUUUGCAAUGUUGCAAUAUUGUAUUAAAAUAUUUUUACAAUCAUUCUGUACGAGUAGCGAUAUUUUAUUAGCGUAUUUUUAAACAUUGAAACACUUUCCUGUCGCCUCGAGGAAUGUUCAAAGCCCGACAACUGUGUAUUUAGAUCGGUAUUAAAGAGAAAUUUCUCACAUAUACCGAAAGUCUCGCAUAUUGUGAAUCUGAAGAAAGUCCACGAAUUUCUCCGGCUUCCGUGCGCGGUAUAUUACCCGCUACUCCACUUAUUCCUCGUUAUUAUGUGCCGCAUGUCCUAGAGAAUGAUAAAUGAGGUGAUGUAGGAGCGGUCUCGUGCGUUUGCGUAUCACCGGCCCGCGUCGUCAGCGUGCGAUUAUCGUGACCGAGAAAACCGGGUCAGUUCUCCACGGACAAUUACCGAUACAAAUGCGCAACAGGUUGGCUGAAAUGGGCGCGGCAAGUAUCCGCGAAUUUUGCCUGUCUUUCGUUUUGAGUAGGAAGCGGAUGCCCUUAUGACGUUCGACGUUGCGGGAAACGACGCAUAGCAGAACUGUUAACUGCUCAUAUAACGAGAACGAGUAGAACCUCCGAAGUGCCAGUACAGAGACACCACAACUUCAUUCAAUCUUUGUGCACUUAAGAACAGGAAAUGAAGAAAACGUGACUGAAAGGAUAUGUCGGAAAGAUAUGUUUUUCGAUUGUGACCUGACUUAGAUAUUAAAUGUCUUCCAUGCGCCAUUUUUACGCGAUUGUCCAUUCAAGUCGCGUGUACCAAUGUGAUGCACUAUAGAGAGUAAGAUGUAUAAUUUUGAACAUGGUAUAAAAAAAGGAAAGAAUUUUCUAAGUAUGAUGAUUCUAAUUUCAGUCGAUGUAAUAGUCAUUUGUUUAUUAAUCUGGCUGCAUAAAAAAUUGUAUAGCAAAUUCUUUCUUUUUGUUCAACUUCAAGUAUACAAGUGUUCAAAUAUUUAGACAUAAAUCUUAACGAGUAUGUCAAAUAGUGUUUUGUAAUACUAUUAUUUCUCUCUUUAUACAAUGUUUAUACUGCAUGUUCAGAACUGUACGAUACAUUUUUUAAUACUUUUCAAGAAUAAAAUAAAUCACAAAUUGGAUCAUGUUAUUUUUUUUUAUAUUCAGGUGUUAACUAAUUCAGAUUGUAAGCUUUCUAAUUGUACUAAUUUAAGUGUUUGUAUUUUGUAACCAAAAAUAAAAAAAUAUUUAAAAAAUUCAAAAUUGUAUCACCUUAAUUGUAUCCUCUAUGAUUACUAUACUACAUGUCGUAUUCUACAUAAUCGUAACUUAUCAAUCAAUGGUAUCAUAAAAUAUUAAAAAAAAAAAAAAUAAUGGAGAAUUAAUAGCAAGAUUCUCCCAACGUACUGAACAUAUCAAGUCGGUUUUUUUUGUUACCUUGAUUUAAAUUUAUGAUAAAGUAUGUAGUUUUAUACUCACAAAUUCUUAAGCGGCCUGAAUGGAAAUCGUGGGCCGGGUCAAUGUUGUACGCAGCAUGGAAUGCGUUAAGAUCAAACCGUAACGGCGAGGUGUUGUUAGGAAUUCGUUGUUCUCGUGACCUCACUUUCGCCUGAUUUGUAGGUGACAGAGAAGCGUGCCCCGAUUCGAAUAAUGUAUGUAAACGAGAGAGUGCAACGUGACCUUCUCUGCUCCGUAGUCUAAAUUAUACAGGUUCCUCAUCCGUUAACCCCGAAACUUCGAGGCGACCUAUUACGUGGAGACCUCGCUUCUCGUGACUUCCACGAAAGUGAAAUACUACAUUGCAAACUCGUUCUAACGGUGCGAGCGAAUUAAUUUGCAUCUGCGACGGGAAAGGAGAUAUCACGCAAUUUUCACCCUCAUAUUCGUACCGUCACGCAUAGUCCGAGCUGCUUGAAUUAACUGAUAAAUCGAAACUCGCUCCAUGAGCUCCGACUAUAUAUCCCUCAAGAAAAGAAAAAUAAUGGAGAAUUAAGAGUAAGACCCUCCCGACGUACUGAACAUAUCGAGUCGGUUUCUUUUUUGUUUGCCUUGAUUUAAAUUUCGAAUUAGAAGUCAUGUAGGAGGCGAUGAAAGGGUUAACGGGAUGUAUCCCGGCGUAGUCGACACGUAAGAUCGAAGUUAUUGAUAGGCGAACUAACGGUUGGGAAUCCAGUUAAACCUCGUCCAGCAAGCGGAAGAAUAUCCCGAAAUUACGACCUUGAUUAUCGCCGUGUGUUACAUUGCGCGAGUCCCGCUUCGAUCGCUUUAUCCUGUAAAUCCCGCACGAGUAUCACGUACCAUAACACGUACAGCGCGCGUAUUCGGUUUCACGUGUAUGAUGAUUUCAACUAGCCGCGCGCUAAAUAGCCGCCGCGAGCGAUGAAGCGUUACACACAGCGACGUAAACCACUUCAUUCGCCCUUAAUACGACGUUUCGUUUCGCCGGACGGGAAAACGACGACUUCCUCCUUCUUCUCCUCCGUCGUGUUGUCGACUCGGUCCAUCGAGUCGCCGCCACGUCGGAUGGAUAACCGUUGUCCUUUGCGCCUUGGCCUCUCCCCCCGGGUACCAUAGCUAGGGGCCACCCACCGCGACGGAUAAUUCCCCGUGCAAUUUCCCGUGCUUUACGCGAAUUAACUAGCGGCACUCUCGACGCGCGCGCGGCUUGAUUAAUUGCGACCACGACGGCGCGGCGUUACUUUCGCGUCGCCUAUUCUUAAUCUCCGCCGCGUCGUAUCCCAUGAAAUCGCGCCGUAACGAACGCCGAUAGAAAUAACUGUACUGCAACUAUAUUAAUGCCCCGGCACCGCGCCAGCGUGCACUCUCCCCCCAUCGGCCCGUUGCAAACAAAUAUAUAUUUUAAAAAAUGUAACAAAAUUAAAAUGUAAUUGCUUGAAGAAAAUAUAGAUACUUGAACAAGAAAAACGACAUAUUUAAAAUGUUAAAUUAUAUACAUAAACCAUUACGUAAAAAAUGUCAAAAGUUAUACAGUACAAUAACGUAUAAAUAAAAAUAUACAUUUAUUCCAUUCUUCCUCUAAUUUUAUCUACUCUAAUUAAUUUUAAGUAAAUAGAACAAUCAAGUGAAUGUUUUUAUUAUAGAAUUAACUUUAAAUUUAACAAUUAAAAUUAAUAACGUACUGAUGCUAAAACUUUUGUUAUUAAUAUCUAUAUUAAUAACAAGUAAUAAGAAAGUCAUAAUCUAAUUUGAAAAUGAAUAUAAUUCCAACUAAACUUUUUAUUUCUAAUGUACUAUUAAUUCUUCAAUAAUAAAUAUUAAUUACUUAUAUAAUUAAUCUGUUACUAAUUAUCGUUUAAUAAAAUAAAACCGUUAAAUAUUUGUUUAAUGAAAGUAUUUCAGAUCGUUCUAUAUAAGUUGAAAAAUUUUUAAUCACAAUAUUGACGUAUACUUUAGAUUAUAUUUUUACCUCUGUAUGAAAAUAUGUUUAGACUGCUCGUGUAUAAAGAUUUAAACAAUAUAUUCUUCCCCCUUGCGACGCAAGGGGGAGGCCGCGCGGCGCAAAGGCGAGCGGGCAAUGAUGACGUUACAGCUGAUUUCAAUCACGCGUUCCAGCAUAAAGGAUCCCGGCGAGCCCUUCCGCGUCCGCAGGCGCCGCGGCGUGAUGGAAAUCAGUGAUCCUUUCACGCAGCGCGCCAGAAGCCCUCUUAAAAGGGGAGCGCGCUCCAUUUGCAUCUACCGGGCGGUGAUCUAUAGAGUGCAGGGAAAGAUGAAUGGUCCGAUAAAGAGGGCAAGCGGCGGUCGGGAUGGCCGCCGAGGGGACGAAGGCGGUGAUGUUUGAGAGUACUGACCCACGUUUACGAUUCGCGCGAGAAAAGCCACUCCUCUACUUCCUCUUUCGACCCGCGAGAAAACGAAUCGGGACACAAUUAUCGCGCCGCAUUGUUAAGAUUCACCUACGAACUCCUUCUUACGUAUAAGCAGUCGUAAGCGCGAAAAUUCUCUCAACCAACGACGAUGCCGGCAUUAUCAAUUACGGAAGCGACAGCCAAUAGAGAGAGAAAAAGAUGUUGAAACAGAUGAAAUAAAAAGAUGAAACUCAAAAUGACUGAAAAUAAAAAUAAAAGUAUUAUGGAAAAAAACGGUGCGUUUCACACAAGGACCAACAAAUGAAAGCUUUAUGCCGGUCAACCAUCGGAAGCGCUUUGACUCGUGAAUUCUCUGCUAAGUAAGAACUCUCAAAUAAAGUUAUAAAAAAUUGUAAAAGUAGUAUGAAAGUUGUGAUGUUGCAAAUUAUAUGAAAUUAAAUAUUUAUUAAUUAUUACGCUAUUCUAUUUUUUCUUGUGUUUCGAUUUUAUUCGCAUCAUAUAAUUGGCUUAUAUGUUAUAAUGUUAUCUUUGUUGCAGAACAAAAUCCAAUUUUUCGAAGACAAGCGUAACUCAAAGAUCAAGUCCUUCAUCUUCUUCACAGUAACAAUAUCCAACUUUUUGGGAAAGAGAGGGAUUCAGAGACCAAGUUCAUCACCUUCUCGACCAAUAAUAAUAUCUAACUUCCCAAAGAAAAAGUGCAAUUCAAAAGCCAAAUCUUCCAUCUUCUCCAUCAAUAAUAAUUACUAUUGAUGGAAUUGUGAUGGCCGUUCCUCGAUAUAUCCACUUUUGAACCAGGCGUACUUGAAAAGAUUAUGAAAUCGCGGAGAAGAUAUCGUAAUUAAUAUCGUAAUUAAAUAAUACGACACGAUCACUGAACGUUCUUAUAAAGUUUUUCCAAAUUCUGAACCCAUACACAUCAAGAAGUUGAAUCAUUCCCGUGACCUUUUUUGGUAUAGUUAAAAUUCGCAGCACUUGCAUGUGUCAGCAGCGCAAGAAAAACGAUUCUCAUGUAUUACUGAAUAAUACUCGCGGCACCUACGGUGACAAUUACUGCACGCCCGUAUACGCUCAUCCGUGGAGCUCAUCUCGCGCAGAUAACGACGAAAAAAGUGCCGAAGGCGUCGUGUCCGGGCAACAGAAAAGAGAUACAACGGCGGCGCAGUUCACGUACAACGUUUCCUGUUACCUGCUAUACCUACGAGGCUGCUGCUACACGUGGCCGUCCGUUCUAUCUCCGGACCGGACAAUUUGCUUCGCAACCCCGAGAGAUUUAUGCGAAGCGGCGAACAGUACGAGUACUGUUACCUUCUGCCUCGCGGAAUCACACGGACGCGAAGGGGAGAGGAGCUCGCGUUCAACCCGUGCAGUUCUCUGUUUCCCUGUUUCGGAACUGCUCGUAGUACUCGCUGGUCGUCACGUCUCUCUUGAACUCAAUAGAUAACGUUGGAAGGAUUGAUCGUCUUACGAGACAAGCUCAUUAUCCGUAUCGUUCUUUUUUUUUUAAUUUAUCUUAUAAAUAUUCUCUUCUCAUUAUUCCGAAAUAAAUACACAACUUAAAAAAUAAUUUUUCUAUUUAUUCUAUGCUCCGUUUAUUUCUUUUUUGUCCUAUUUACCGCAUUUUUACUUUUCAGUCUAUCUAUUACAUUCUGAUCAUCUUGUUUUUGUUGCAAGCUAGUUCCAUGGCAUCAGCAUCUUCGCUGGCAUUUCACUAAGCAAAUGCGAGUGCAUUAAUUGUUGUUCCGCGUAUUUUAUUUAUUUUAAUUUAUUUGCGGAACAAAUAAUUAACGUGACUAUUCAGUUGAUCGAAUUUAAUUAUUUUAUUUUCUCAAGCGUGACCGAUGUAACCGCGCGCAGUCAAUAUCGACUCGAGACAUAUCGAUUGUACGCGGGGGUCGACGAUUUAUCCGAGAUUCGGAAGCGCCAUCACAGGAGAUAAAUAGAAGGUCAAGAGCCCGCUGCUCUUCACUUCUUCCGUGUACGCGACAGCGAGUAUAUCUUUAUCCGCAAGUGAAUCUGUGCAAUCAAGAAUAUUCGGUCAAGAGCGCGAAUUACCUCACAGGGGUUUAGAGUCAUUUACACGUGUAUUUCAAUUUCAAUAAUUAAGUGAGCAAGGUGUUCAUAUACGGGGCUUCGGCCUAUUUAAGGGAAUAUUUCUCGACUUGUCUUCACUCGAAAACGGAAGACCACAUGCGAUUCAUAUACGAAUAAAUUCAUAUACGAUUUUAUAUGAUACGGGGCCCCGAUAAUUAUAGUGGUACUACGACAUGCGAUAUAUACGAUCUUCAUGAUCUACACGAUUAUACGUACAAUACGACAUAUAUGAUCUUCAUGAUCUACCCGAUUAUACGUCUCACUAAUUAAUAUGAUAAUACGAUUUCUAUAAUUGUGUCUAAUCUGGGGUUUUUAUGCCGCAAGGCUUUUCCCCACAAGCCAAUAAAUCUUCUAAGAUAUUGGCUCAAACCCACGCAUUUUGAUUUAACAUUUCCCUUCCUAUCCGAAACCACGAGAUCUCUCCACAAGGAGCAGUUUCGACCCUACAAUUGUUUUUAUUUAUGCUUUUAUUGCAAUUAUUCGACUUGACAUAAAUCAAUCCCGCAUAUAUGCAAUAAAUUUAUUAUUAUUAUUACAUUGCGUGUAAAGUAACGCAUCGAUUCGCAACUCUUGUAUCGGUUAGUAUAGAGGAAGACUAACUCACGCUAUCGGCGAUAAGUAAAUGCGUUCAUAAUCAAACGACUAGCAGGAAUUCGCGUGAGUUGCGGUAUCGGGUCAUCUGAUAUCGCUAUAAUUUACAUUUGAUGGACAUAACGAUCGGCGCUCUCACACGCUCCGCGGACAACGCGCUUCUAUCCUCGCGAUACCCCGCGAUUACAAACCGGAAUAUCGUUACAAGUCGGCCGAGAAUUAUCCUAGAUAACGUCGAUGGCGGGCACCGCGCGGUGGCAAACGGUAUAAAUUCAACGUUACGUGGACGCGUUCGCGGCGAGGAUCUCACACUGGACGGCGACGGCUUUCCUCCCCCCCCCCCCUCCCCGGAAUCGUGGAACUUGAAUGCAUCUAUUACGCUAAUAGCGAUAAUGGCUCGUUUCUGUGCGCAUGCCGACAGCCCAGUCGGCCGCCUCCGUUAGGCGAUACGGCUUGGUUUAUCGUGAGAGGCACCUGCCCGGCUCGGGGUGACCUGAGUUUCAUCGCGCGCAGCGAUGAAGAACGCCAUCGAUCAAGUAUGCGGUAUCCCUGUGCGAAAAUCCGCGCCUGGAAUCUCCCAGUCUUGGCAUUCAGCACGGUGGGAGGUAGAGACCUUUGGGCCGCGCGUUCAACGAAAGCCGUGCUCGCUAUAUAUAAAAAUUGAUUUUCAGGAAAGUGUUUAGCAAAGAUAGUAUAAAAAUUUUAUUGAUGUAUCAGCAAGAUCCUUGCUCAUAUGUUACCAAAUGUGUUAAUGUCACAAUCGUAUAAAACGAGAUAAAGUUUUUUAGAUUAUUUGUAAUCAUAUAAAGAAUUAACAGGAUAAAUAAUGACAACUAAAUUUGCAAAAAAGAAAAUCAAUAAUUUAAGAUCACAAUAUCUAGAUCAGUUGAAUAAAAUAAAACAAUCAAAAUCAAAUGGUGCGUCAACUGAUGAUAUAUAUAAAUCAACUUGAUGGUUGUUCGAAGACUCAAAGAAAAGGAGAAUCUUCUAUAACAGUGAUUUCUAAUCAGAAUCCGAAUUGGAAUCCGAAUCAGAAUCCAAUUUCUCAGAAUGGUCACAAUGUAAUCAAAAUGAAAUAGGAAGUGAGUUGCCCAAAUUCAAAGAAAAGGGAGCCUGCGUCAGUCAGGGCGACUGAGGCAUUACGACUCGCAAUAAAAAUAAAUCCCCUAUUUUUUUUUUUUUUUAAAUAUUUAACAUGCCGUCAACCAAACUUUCAUUGUAGGUUAUUUGACACUUAUAUACAAUGAUAAAUCCCCUAAACCCUUGAAGAGGUUAGAAGGCUCGACUCCUGUGUCGAUCGGGUCCUAGCUCACCUCGCUGAGAGGAUCGACCUGGACCUAGACUUUAUAUACUUAGAUAUAUACGUAUUUCUCUUUCGAAUGUAGCGACGUCAUGAUAUCCCAGAUUCUAAAAUUAUUGCAGUCCACGCAACGUGUGUUGUGAUUUUCGCACGACAACAAAGUAUACGUUAACGUCGUACAUACGCGCGUGUAAUGAUGAAAAUCCUACAUCGUGAGUUACGAGUUGUGAUUAUUUUUAGACGAGAACAAAUUGCGUGCGGCGUAAUGCAAAACAAAUGAGCUUCCGAUCGGAUCGUUAACCGGUUUGUUGUCGUUCUCGAUUUCUACCGAUGCAUUUCUAAGGCAGAGCUGUUCGAGAGGCUCAACCUUCGUGUCUUUUGUGUUGCGUGUCGACAGUAAAGACUUUCUACGCAGCUUCCGACAAUUUAACGUUUCAUUGCACUUUCUCGUACAGAUAAUUUACACCUGGAUCAAUAAUAUUAACCAGAAUAAGAUUAAGAGAUUAUCAUUUAUGUUCCGCGAGUUUUCAAUAUCUGGACGGAACAGACGCGUUAUGAAGUACCCGGAAUCUGGUGACAAAGUUUACUUUGAGACAAUCUAAUUGGCUCAGCUAGCGCGUAUCACGGCAUAGCGGACGGUCGGAGACGGGCCGUGAACUACGACCACUCCCGAGUUUUCGGAAAAUCGCGACGUUGAUUGGCGGGCCGAGAGCAUCGCCGAUUAAGAUAAAUAGAAGACCACUAACUCAGUCAAGACACUUAUUCAGACGCGAACGCGAGUGCAUCUCUCGAACCUCAUAGUGCGGAAUUCAAUAAUCUUCUCACGCGUGGUUUAACCCAUCGUUCAGGUCUCAUUACUUUCAAUCCAAACGCGAGCAAGGUGUAUUACACGGUGCUUCUGCCCACACGUGGAAUAUUUCCACGUAUUCGUAUUUAUGCGAGGCGAAAGCUACGCGAUUACACGUGUUCGGGGCCCCGAAAUCCAUUCGAUUAUACGAUUGCUCUAAGCGAAACAAUUACUCGUUUUACACGAAAUAUCUCGAUUGUGUCAUAUUCUCGUUUCAUACAUACUGUAAACUCUUAAUACAACAUACGUUAUCUGGGGUUUUUAUGCCGCAAGGCUUUUCCCCACAGAGCCGAAUAAGGUUUAAUUCCUUGGCUCUAAAAUCAAUGUACGUUAAUUUUAAACCUUACCCAUCCAUCCAAAAUCACGGAAACUCUCUAAAAGGAGAGGUUUCCACGAUACAACAUGUUAGGUAAAAGCAGUAACGAUCUAGGAAUUAUUAAAAAUGAUUCAAAAAGGAAGAUAAUUCGACACUACAAAUUUAAGAGUGUACGAUUUCUUUGAAUAUUUUUUUCUGCAUUUGUUUAAAAUUUUUUAAUUUUAUUCAAACAGUAUAAUGUUGUACAAAGCAUUAUCUUUACUGAUUGAAAAAGAUAAACAUAUUCUUUUAUUCCAUCAAACAGCUUAUUAAUAAACACAUUAAUAAAUAAUCAAAUCGUAUUUAUUUCUUCAAAUGAAUAGUUUUGUUUGAUUGUUCAUAUAUUUCUUCGUUUUCAAUCAAUUUGAUUUUAAAUCUAAAGAAAUCUUUCUCUCUGGGUAUAAUUAUAAGCACAAUUAACGUGAUUGAUAUGAUAAAUACAUGGCUGGCGAGAUUGAAAAAAAGUCUAAAUCUAUGCACGACAGUUUUAUGAAACAGGCCAUGCUAAAAAAUCGAAUCUGAAAGGUUCAAUCUCGAGUAGACAAGGUGUAGGGCGAGACAAGACCGCUGGCGAUUUUAUGCAACCGUGCCGGUACACCCACGUGCUUCGCGUGAGAGAAAGAGAAGAGGAUUCGUAAUAUUACCUUCCUCCUCACGACCCUUACUCUUAUUUCCUCAUGGUUUUGUCGGCAUUUGAAAAUGCAGGUGUCCGACAUCUAGGAAGAAUCCCUCGGCCGUGACAACGAGAAAAAUCGAAAAACGACGACGAUCGAUUUUUGGAAUUCCGUUUAAAUCCGCAUUGCGGAACAUCGAGGAACAAGUUCGAAGUAACAAAUACUCGCACGCGCAUACGUAAUCCCGAGGAAAAGUGGGUAUCGAAAUACGGGAAGUGUCAGGCAUUUUUCCAUGUUUCCCGAAGAGGGUAGGAGGCAAUCCGCGGCGAUAGAGCGAUAAGAUUUUGUUUUAUAGCGAUUCAUCGGGAAUCUCGAAAAUUACGAGCGACAAGAAACGACGAAACUUACGCUCUCGAUCGUAUCCUCUUUACGACUGUAAUAAUACAACCGUGUUUACGACUGACGGUGAGCUCUCUCUCUCUCUCUUUCUCUCAUGGAAAUGAGAUAGAGCGAGUAGAAAUAAUAAAGUACCUAGGCGUAAUUAUUGAUGACAGACUUAGAUUCAGCUGUUGCUGAUUACAUGCUAAAGAAGAUAGGGAAGAAAAUAAGUUUUCUAAAUAGAAUAGAAAAUUAUAUAUCGGCACAUACUAGAUGUACUAUAUAUAAGACAAUUAUAGCACCUCACUUUGAGUAAGUUAACUGGACUUCGACGAAGUCAUAAUAAAAAGACUUUAUUAAGAUUGUUCCGCGUAUUUUAUUUUAUUUUAAUUCAUUCGCGGAACAAAUAAUUAACGUAAUCAUUUAGUUGAUCGAAUCUAACUAUUUUAUUUUCUCAAGCGUGACCGAUGUAACCGCGCGCAUGAGACGAUGUGAUUGUUGAGGGCGCGCGUAUCGGACGGUCGAUGAGAGCAGUCAAUAUCGACUCGAGACAUAUCGAUUCUACGCAAGGGUCGACGACUUAUCCGAGAUUCGGAAGCGCCACCACAGGGGAUAAAAAGAAGGUCAAGGGCCCGCUGCGAUUCACUUCUUCCGUGUACGCGACCGCGAGUAUAUCUUUAUCCGUGAGUGAAUCUGUGCAAUUGAGAAUAUUCGGUCAAGAGCGCGAACUACCUCACAGGGGUUUAGAGUCCUUUCACACGUAUAUUUCAAUUUCACUAGUUAAGUGAGCAAGGUGUUCAUAUACGGGGCUUCGGCCCAUUUAAGGGAAUAUUUCCCGACUUGUCUUCACCCGAAAAUGGAAGACCACAUGCGAUUCAUAUACGAAUAAUUUCAUAUACGAUUUAUACGAUUCGGGGCCCCGAUAAUUAUAGUGGUACCACAACAUGCGAUUAUACGAUCUUCAUGAUCUAUACGAUUAUACAUACAAUACGACAUAUACGAUCUUCAUGAUCUAUACGAUUAUACGCCUCACUAAUUGAUACGACUUCCAUAAUUUUGUCUAAUCUGGGGUUUUUAUGCCGCAAGGCUUUUCCCCACGAGCCAAUAAAUCUUUUAAGAUAUUGGCUCAAAAACACGCAUUUUUAUUUAAUAUUUCCAUUCCUAUCCGAAACCACGAGAUCUCUCCAUAAGGAGCGGUUUCGACCCUACAAAGAUUGAAAAGACUGAAUGUUCAAAAAUACAAAGAACUUUCCAUAGUAGAAGAAGACUUUAUUUUUAAGAAUGUUAAGCCAUUGUAUGAAUGCGCAUAUAACCUAACUUGAUAUUGUUGAAUCGCGUUGUUUAAUUAAUAGAUAAGGAGUUUAAGAUAAACGAUUUUUUCUCAUUAACUUUCACGUCGCAUGUCAUAUAAUUAAACGUUGCAUGGUGAAAUUUUUUUCUCCUUUUCGCGACCCGUUACCUUUAUACACGAUCGACCUUUGGUCAUCCUUCGCUUUAUCAAUCUUCACUUGAGAAAUAUUUACGAAACAUAACGUUUAUGAAAUUGAGCUGAAAUUGUUUUUCCAGAUAACAUGGACAAGGGCCAGACAAACCGCGGCGGCGGCGGUGGCGGCGGCUCCGACUGCGUGCAUUACAAAGUGAUCGUGUGCCUACGAUAUGGGCACUUGUUCAGCGAGCGCGACGACACGUCGUCGGAGGGAUCCGAUUCGGACGUUGUAGAUUUCAAGUCAAGUCAAGACGGGCAGCGAUAAAAGCCAUGUGUAGCCGCCAAUUGCUGUCAAUGGAUUUUAAUAAGAUUAUUUACUAUUAGCAGACGGCUUACUUAUUAAAAUAUAUUAACAUUGUGGUACAGUGCAAAAAAUGUAGAACACUUUUAGAGUAUAAAAAUGUAUAACAAUCUACCGAUAGAAAUUAAGCGCAGCGAUAGAUUGGAGCAUUUUUAAAGAAAACUGAAAGAGUGUAUUUUAAGUGUAAGUUAAUAUUAAGUUAGUUUGUAAGUUAUUUAAUGUAUUUUGAAAUAGCUGAGAAAGCUAAUAAAUCAAUACGAAUCAAAAUAUCAAUCAAUCAAUCUCCCUCUCCCUCUCUCUCCCUUCGGAACGGAAUAUGAAUCGAGACGCGGAUUUGCAACGUAAUCCCUCGCGCGAUGCAACGACAAUGUACCUACGCCUGGGAAUUGGCGUCUCGGAUGGUGUCUCUCCGUUCGCGAGCCGCGCGUCUCGGGGGUAUCCUUGUAAUUAAGGCGCGCCGCCGCGAGCGUUGUCGGCCGCGAUGCGGAAAAGUGCAGACCGAAACGGAUAAUAAUUGCCCGCGGUCGGGGCCCCGCGCUCGAUACGACAUUAUAAAGUCAUCACGGACGAAGGGGGCACGCGCGUGCUAUUCUCCCCGUGAGUGCCCGGACUCGGUGUGGCGACUUUUUCUCGGGCGGCAACGCGGCCGCCGCCGAUCCGCGGAGGAUCUGGAUCCCUCGACCGACGUGCCGCUCAUCAAUUAUGAGUUACGAUCGCGCGCGCGAGCCUCAAGGUUCCGCCGCCGCGCCGCGCCAGCAAUCUCGGCCUCGGAAUCGAACGCGUCCUCCGCGCCGCGCGCGAGCACUUCUCUUUCUCUCUCUCUCUCUCUCUCUCUCUCUCUCUCUCUUCGAGCCUUUUUCUUCUCGUAGGCUGCGCUGACGAUAGCUAUAAAUCGCCUAUCCCGCCUUUUGGCGAGUAGGAACGGCCUUGAGUGUUUAUUGUCUGCCUCAGGCAGUAAACCCUCUUUUUUAUAGUACUUCGACAAAACAGUCGAUCUCAGAGUUUCCAAUGAAACCUCUUUUUUUUAUCUAUACCACAUCUUUUUUACAAACUACUAGAACAUUACAUUGCGCUAUGCGCGCGCCAUUACAUUACAUUUGUUUAAUUAAUAUAUAAAUGUAUGAAUAAUUUAAUUUUAUUAUAUGGUCUAUUUUAAUAUUAAACUGAUUACUUAAAUUUUGAACUGAUACAAUAAUUAAAAUAAAACAAAUGUUUCUUUAAAUUUAACUAUAUAUAUCAAUUUAACAGUACAUUUAUAAAGAACAGAUCAAAUAUUAAAUUACUCUGAACACAUCCAAUAUUUGAUACUAUUUCGAAUCUGUUUUUGAAGUUUGUCAUUUUUUUUAUUGAUUAAAUAUCUUUAACGAAAAUAAAGAACACGAAGAAUUUAAUUUAAUACUAGAACAACACAUGCGUGCGGAAGUUCAUGCUAACUUCCGUGAUCUCGCAAAAUUCGAUGCGGAACAGCCCGAAUGCAGUUCCGCAUCGACCUAAAUAAAAACCAUACGCGGCACAAGUAAACCGCGAAGCUACCGUGUACCAAUAUCGAAACGCCCAGCCUCGCGGAAGUUGCCCAACGCACCCGGUCACUGGCCUCCAAAAGGGCGGAGAGUAACAUAACAACGUCCGAGUUACGUCGCGUACUACAAAUCUUAUCGCGAGUGAUACUUGACACCGCUACAGCUGACUGUAAGCACCGAAGCAAAGAAAUAAAAACAACGAAAACCAAAUAAGAAGUGUUUUCUUUUAUUCAACCAACGAGACGAACCUUCACCCUUCGGAUCCUAAUCCCUAAGGCAGGACGAAUUCUAACUACUUACGGGAAGAACUCCCGAAACGAGUAAACGCUCACGACAGAAUCAUCAUAAAUAAAAGUGUUUAAGGAUAAAUUCUCUACUACAAUGUUUUCUUUAUUUCAUUUAAUCGAGUGCGUCGCGGGGAUCUAUCGAGAGCUCUCCGCGAUAUAUCUCGUCUAGAUAUUCAGAGCGUAGAUUCUCCAAGGUAUCGAGCGCAAAGGAUUAAAUCUAAGCGCUAUCUGCGGCGCAUCUUAUCCCGGACGAUACAAAAGGAUUAUAUGUAGAGUGGCCGGAUGCGGAUCGGGACGACGGAUCCUUGAGCUAUCGCAUGCGUAAUGUCUUCAUUCAGCCCUACACCUAUCAUAAUCUCGCGAUGAUGAACGAGCGCCCUUUAUGCGAGGACGCAGAACGGAGAGAGAUUAAACGUAGAGUCAUCAAUAGGCUGCGGUCGCAUUAAAUGGCCUGCCGUGUGCCGCGUGCCGCGGAAAAAUCGGAACGAGUCAAUUAGUCCCUCUUGCCCCAGGGGUCAGUUCGGGGUUUUUUUACUCUUUAACGUGUGGUACUGUGACUCUUACUUUGAGUCGGAUAUCCAACGGGGGCCUUUAAAGAAGAAGAGUCAAUUAGUCGCGCUCUACCAGUUCGAUCUGUCACAAUAUACAAAACUCCGUCUCUCUUUUUUCGCCUCUCCCCCUUUCCUGCCCUGUCCUUUCUCCCUCUGCUAUUCCGGAUCCACGUGCGCCGCGGGCGCCGAGAUAUCUCCGGAGCUCUAAGUCAUGUUUUACGGUUAACAAAUAGGGUGUCGCUGAAUGUACCGCCGUGCCGCGUGAUGCUAUCGACGUCGACAAAAAUUAAGCGCUGCGAUUAUUCACGCGUGUCCCGCGCGAUCGGCGGCGCGGCGCUGCUAUUUCGGUAGCCGAGUUUCGUGCGUAAGCAGCGUACGAGCUUUUAUAUCGCGCGACGUCGCUGUCGCGAUACCGCGCGUGGCGAUAUGUAUCUGCCACGUAAGAUCGAUGCGCGUCGAAUCGAAGCCUGUGAUCAAAAUUACACAGGGAGACAGGCAGAUAAUCUUCGAUCUUAAUCUUCCACAAUUAAAAGUAUUAUCCCCUUCACUCGUGUGUAGUUAAUUUACCCAGUAGAGACCGAAACUUUAAAUUUUCGCAAUCUCCCCGAGCCCGCGGCUUUCUUCCCUGUCUAGACUCGCGUUGUAUCGCGCGCCGUGGCAUAUUUAAAAUAUGAAAUAUUUAUAUUGUUACAAGAAGAAAUUCUUCGAUUGUAUUUAUUAUACUUUCAAAUACUUUUAAGGCAGAAUACAGGAGAUUGUUGACGAUCAUUUCAACAAUGUUUUUAAACUCUUCUAAUUGCGUGUGGUAUUGGUACGAGGCACUACCGUGCCUCUUGACCACAUCGUUCUUGAGUGUAUUAAUGUGAUGAGGAACCACAUCUCAUCUCUAUAUGCAUGUGGUAUAAAUGAAAUUCCGGUUGUUUACAUUGAAACGGAAACAACUUGACAUAUUAUGUUUCUGACCAAUAAAAAAAAAAGAGAAUAAAUUUCUUUAAUCAAACGCAUAUUGCAGCGACCCGGAGAGCAAUUGCGUUUUGUGUGUCCAAUGCGUCUCGCUUGUUGUACCAGCCGCCGCGUCGCCGCGUUGGAUCCCCGUUAGCUGACGGGAAAGGAUAUACCCUAUCGUGUCGUGUCCAUGCUCUGUCCAAUGCAUAUUAAGUAGUUCUGGAAAAUCAGUUGUCGGUGGCUCGUAGCACCGAGUCUGGACGAAGGAAUUGAAUGAAUCAGCUUCUCCUGGUCGGCCUUGCAGCCUGUUUACUAGUUCGAGUGUUAGAAAUUGAAAGAUAGAUUAUUUAUAGAACCUACUAUUUUCACGAAACCUUACAAAGAUGAACUCUAAUAAUACAACUACUAAAAUGAAUGUUCUAAUCCUUUGUAUUCCGUAAGACAGCUUACGUACUUAAAAUAGUAUAUAAAAAAGAUACGCGUUUCUCCAGUUGUUUGAUAAGUUUGAUUGUAACAUUUCUAUCAAAAUUUAAUUUUAGUCUCUCUUUUGCUUGUCCAAAUAUCGCAUUAUAAAAACAGAAUUUUUUAAAGAAAGGAAAAAUGUACGCCAAGUACGAUAAAAAACAUUUGAAAUGUAUGUAUUAAAUAAAAAAAUUAAUUGCUCAAAAAUAAUUUUCAAAUCAAUCUAAUCAGCCCAGUAUCACUAAUGACAGCUUAAAUCUUAAAAAAUAAAAUCUUGCCAGUUUGCAUUUUGAUUAUACGCGCCACUGCAAUCGCGUCGCUUGAUUUGAAAAAAAUCGAAGGUGUUCGGUAUCGAUUCGUUCUCGCAUAUAUAUGUAUGAACGUAAUCGCAUUAUAGUUUACGCGAUUGCGUAUAGUUGCAUUACUGUACCUCUGUAAUGGGAGGGGCUCCGGGGGAUAGAGUGCAACGAGAGGAGAGAAAAGUUGCGAUGGAGCAAGGGGAGGAGAGAACGUUGGCGUCGCCUGGAAUGCCCGCAGACCACGAACGGUGCCGAUACGACGGGUUUACCUUUUACAGCCUACCUACCGGUCGUUUCACUCCGACCGCGCACCUUCAACGUCCACGCGUUAUAUAUCUCCCCAUCCUCCCCACGUCCCAUUGCAUCGCCGCUUUCACUGCCUUAAAAAUGCAUCUUCUCUUCGCAACACACGCAACUCUUCGAUACCAUAUGUACUUCGAUUAAUUUAAUUAUUGACCGCCACCUGCUGUCAAUAUAUAAAGAGGAGACUUAAUUAAGGAGGAUUUAUAUUAAAGGGAUGUUAUACCUUCUCGUUUCUCGAUAGAGCCUACGAGAGACGAACUGCAUCUCUCUCCGCAGAUUAUUGCGCCUGUGUAGUUAAAUCUUUAACGGAUGACUCACGAUUAGAUAGCAGAUUUAAGAAACACGUUAUUAACAUAUUCGUCACUUUAUUAAAUAGAAAAACAACUGCUAUCUAAAUAUAGAGAAAAGACUUAAUUAUAAAUUUAUAUACAAGGUAAAAAAGAAAGAGAUUUAUUAGUUUUAAGUAAUAUCGGAAACAAUAUUUUUUUUAAUAUACAAAAUAUCCCAAACUACCCCGUAUUCUUUUUAAAAAUACCGAGGGACUUGACGAAAAAAUCCCAGCGUUCCAAUCACCGGAUAAAAAAAAAACUGGUAGAGUAUUCGUAUUCAUGCGAGGCGAAAGCUACGCGAUUACACGUGUUCGGGGCCCCGAAAUCCAUUCGAUUAUACGAUUGCGCUAAGCGAAACAAUUACUCGUUUUACACAAAAUAUCUCGAUUGUGUCAUAUAUUCUUUCAUACCUACUGUAAACUUCAAUACAUUAUCUGGGGUUUUUAUGCCGCAAGACUUUUCCCCACAGAGCUAAAUAAAGGUUUAAUUCCUUGGCUCUAAAACCAGUGUACGUUAAUUUCAAACUUUACCCAUCCAUCCAAAAUCACGGAAACUCUCUGAAAGGAGAGAGUUUUCGACGAUACACCACCCUUUUCAGGGCGCAAAACAAACCGCCCUUGUAAAGGCGCAAAACAAACCGCCCUUGUAAAGGCGCAAAACAAAUCACUCUGAUCAGGGUGCGAGACAAAUCGCCCUUUUCAGGGCGCAAAACAAAUCGCCUUUUCAUGGCGCAAAACAAACCGUCUUGUGAGAGCGCAAGACAAACCACCCUUGUAAGGGCGCAAGACAAACCGCCCUUGUCAGGGUGCAAAACAAACCGCCUUUUUCAGGGCGUAAGACAAAUCGCCCUUUUCAGGGCGCAAAACAAACCGCCCUUUUCAGGGCGCAAGACGAACCAUUCGUUAGGCCGUACUUGUAAAAAAUUUUAAGAUUUUCGCGAAAAAUUAUUUACCUUUAUUUUAAGAGAAUUUAAAAGAGUUUCUGGACACCCUGUACAUCUAAAACAUACUUUCAAUUUUUUAUAUUCUGAGACUAAUUUGCUUGCUUAUAUCAUGUGCAUAAUUAUCGCGUCGGAUUAAUAUUAACGAGAAAUGACGAGAACUUUGGAAAAUAUCGACGCUCGUAGGUUGCGGAAUUUGGCGCAACGAGAUGCGACAGUAAUGAAACGUUUCAUGGUUAAGUAACAUCGCUUUUCUCCGAGAAGAUGUCAUCAUUUUCACGACGAUGUUUAUUCAUGAUCACGAUUAGCUACUUACUACGCCAGCUAGAGCCCGUUCUCCGCCCACCUCGUAAAUUUUCAUGUCCCAUUGUAUUCUUCGUUCCGUCGUGUCUUUGCAUCAUCCUUCUGUACCGCUUGAAAAGCAGCUUCUUCUUAAAAUGCCGCUUGUAUAAUACCGUAGAGAGGAAAAUAUGAAAUCGCCGCGCGGUAUUUUGAAAUCUAUUUAUUGGCUUCAGAAACUCCAAAUGAAUUAUAGGAUCAUUGGAGAUAAUUGGCAAUUAUUCUAUGGCAUUCUACAGCGUAUGGGAUUAACCCACACUAACGUCCCGAAAUAAAUUACACGCGGAGGGAUCCUUCGCUCGAUCGUGCCUCGAUCGGCGAUUGCUAUUGAUCAGCUCGACCGAAUCGACUUGCCUGGCCUGGCAAGUGAUCCUAACCAGACUUCCAUGUUCACCGACGCAUUAUCGCCGCUGCCGAGACUAUCUCCUCAUAGAGCACCGAAACCACAAGCGACCGAGGGUCGAUCGGCUCGAGUAUUGGUAUAUUAAAUGAGUCGAGGAAUAAGCAUAUUGCGCCGCGUGUAUGUACAUACAUACAUUGGAAAGCCGGCAACAACGUACCCAAGGCAAGCGUGGCCGCGGUCAUGCAUUGCAGGCGGCGGGCGCCCAUUUGCUCCGUCGGGUUAUCUUAAUAGGAUUUCGAUAGUCUGAUUCUAUCUUCUCGUGCUACCAAGCGCCCAGAGAAAACAACUAGCGUAUCCAUAUCCAUCGUGUCUUUUAAAUCGCUACUUAAAUUGAUAGAAUUCUUUCCGUCUCACAUUGAUUUAUAUGCGAUGUGUAUUUUUAAUUACAUUCAAAAAAUGGAAAGAAAAUUUUUGUCUACACACAAGUUGUCCCUUUAUAGCGCAUAUUAAUACUUUUAACGCGAUAAAAAUCUCCUCUCACUCUCGUCUGAGGAGUAUCUCAGAAAUUGUCGCGUUUAAGAUCUGCGCCACUCGGGCGACACUCCGUAAUCUCUACGCAUUUCAAGACCGAAGGGAGUAGACUCCGACAAGUAUCACGUUGCAACUCGGCUCGAUAAGUGCUGAUCGUAAAUAACAGUUGCACGUUUCGAACAUACCGGAAACAUUAAUAGUCACCCUACGCAUACCAAAACCGCGGACGGUCAUCGGAAUCGAUCUAAUAAUUCCCCUCGCCACGGCGGCGAUCGUUAAUUAAUGUUCUCUUCAGAGACACUCAUAUUCGAGGGUGAAGGCUCAGACUUUAAGCGCCCGACGGUAUUAGCACUCGAUCCAAUUUCUCAGUUUAACGAGCGCAAUCUGGUCGAAGGCAGUCCGAAACGACGUGGACGUGGACGCGCGCGUGAUAAACACGCCGGGCUCAAGGCAACCGCCCACGAGCGGAUAGCUCGUUAGUGACAGAUGCGAUUUGACCCAUUAGCACAAUCACGUGCGCCGCGUCCCCGCCUUCUCCUCAUCCUUCUCUGCCUCGUCUUCUCCUCUUCUCGUGUCUCCUAACGUAACACGGCUAACGGAACUCGCGGACGCAGACCGGAAGAGAGCACCGCGCUUCGGAAUGCCGACGCGUGCCACAUCGCUCGACGUGUCCCGCGUGUGCCCAUAUACGAAGGGCCUCCGUACUCUCCGCGCGUACUCUUGCCUACGACGAUUCCUCCGCCACGCCGGGUUGGAAUUCUCAGAUCCCCGGUAUGGAAUAGAGCCAAGGAUGGGCAAGGACUUCUUGCCAGCUCCGCGGCACGCGCGCUGCGUUCAUAAAGUUACGUGGACGGGGACGUCCCGGAACCGCCGCUGUGCAUAAUUUAAUUCUCCCGCGGCGUACGAAUCCGUUUGAUUCAUUUCACGUGCCACGUGACAAAUUUAAUUAAAAUUAUAGAAGAGACCUGUUUGUACAUCUUAAGCGUUUCGUAUAGAAAGAUCAUUGAAUAACACAUUUCCACGGAGAUUUUGAUUUAAACUGUACAAGUGAGAGGAUUUCGUGCGUAUAAAUGCGUAUACGAGCGUAAAGAAAAUCACUCCUUUCUCUGUUUUUCCCGUGAUUAACGAUGUUCCGGAUCACGAACUUGACUACACAAGAUCCCGAGCCACGUAAAAACAACUCAUGAAAUAUUCAGGUCCCCGUUCGGAUCUCUCUAACAAAUAGACGAGCGGAACCGAAAGGAUUAAGUGCAUCUCAUCCAACGGUCGGCCCGGUUCGUCGAACCGAGUCGCGACGAACGGCGCACAAUGACUCUAACGAGCCGCCGUAAGGCCUGCCGGUGUCCCGGUCUCUCUCUCUCUCUCUCUCUCUCUCCCUUGACAGAGAUUCGGGAUAAGGCCGAACGCGAGAAGAGUAAGGUUAACGCACCCUGCAGAAGAAUACGGUACCCCGAAAUGGAACGCCGCGUAGGACGACACUCCUGCUGCAGACACCCACGCACUCCUGUCUUAUGUCCAGGACCAUGUCGUCGAGCUCGCAAAUACGCGGCCGCGUGAAUGGCCACGUUGAGUUUCUAAGGGUGCGUUCGUUUUGAACGCUCACGCGCUAUAAGCGCUAUUUUUCACCGUUCCUUUUUAGAAUUUAAGCUUAUACGACUGCAAGUAAAGUCGUUCCCUUUGGCUCUUGUGAGCAUUGUGAGCGUGUCAAGAUGGCGAAAAAUAACAAUAUAUCACAGGAAGAAUAGCGCGAAUAUUGUAACAUCAUAUUAAAAGAUGGAAAUUGAAAGAGAAUUAAUUUCUGUAUUAUGUUUGCUAAUAAUAAUGACUCUUUUAUUGACGAAGGCGAUUGUUAUAUUUAUAGUAAACAAUUAGAAAUUAUUAUUAUUAUUCGUCUUAAGGAAACUUUGAUAAAGCAUCGAAUAUUAUGAUUGAAAAAUUUGAAACAGACCUAAUAUUUGCAAAUAUCAAUUUUGUUUUUGUCAUCAAUUUAUUAAAUCUAACUUUUGGUUUCUAAUUAGAAUAAAACAAUCUACUUUUUAUUUAUAUGUAUUAUGUAAUAGUUACAUUUAAGGAUCGUUUAAAAAUCGAAAAUUCGAGAGAGAAAUCACAUUUAAACAAAUUAUAGAUAGAAAAUUAUCAAAUCGCUUGUUAUAUAACCAAUUAGGUGAUUUUCAUAAUUAGCUGUGCUAAUUUGUUGAUUAAGUCCUUAUUGCGAUAAUACACAGCGUUUAUUUUGGACGCUUAUAAGUUAUAAGCAUUCACGCUUUCGCUGCCCUACCUCGAUGGAAUAAAUAUUUUUGAGUGCGAUAUAUGACGUCACGAUGACGUCAUGAAUGUGUCUCAUGAGCGCUUACAAUUGCCAAAGCAAAUGGUAUAAGCGCUGUAAGCGUUUCAAAACAAACACACCCUAGAAGAAAAAAAUGCGCAUAAUAUAUCUCUCUCGUAUUCUUCGCAAAGGGGAUGUGACCUUGUUGCCGGCCGACGCGCCGAGAUUUAUCGACUUAUCGUUUGUUACGAGAAGGAACCAGCUCGUCCUUCGCGCGCUGAAUAGAUAUCCGCCGCUUGUCACACCGAUGGUGAUAAUGUAUAGCCGGAUGCUGUUGAAAGCGUUGGCUCGGCGGCGACAGAAUGCAGGAUUCGAAAGACACGUAUUGUCUUUUUGUCGCUACGACGCGAGUCGUCCCGCGCGAUUGUGCCUAAAGGAUUAAAAAAAUAUUGGUAUCCUUCCUCAAAUUUCGGUGGAUUCUGUGGAUUUGCGAUGUAGCUUCGCUAAAUUACUUCUCCGUUAUUUAUUAUAGAUUGAAAUAAUGGUACAAAGUUGUGAUUUAAUAAUGAUCAAAUUGAAUUUCUAGAAUUAAAAUUAAAAAUGAUAAUAUAUCAAAGUUUUGUUCAUAAUAUUGUAUAUAUCAAAAGUUACAUUUUAGAUAUUGUAUCAAAUUUUUUCAAUCAUACAUAGAUUAUUAUCUGAGUUAUUAAGUUUUUGCAGAUUUUUUUACUCGUUUUCACUUUGAUCUAUUGUGAACAUCUAUUGCGCGGCGGUUCAAAUGCUCAUUGUUCGCGCUUGUCAGAAAGCCGACAGGUCGUCGUGCCAAAUAAGGUUGCUCACCCCGGGGAUGCAAUCUCCGCGGCAUUCGAGGCAAGGGUCCAGCCCUUGCCGAGAUCUCGCAUAGAAUUUUCGGCUCGACCCUUAUCUUAAUCGACGGAUCUAAGGCGUUACGGAGCCGCGAACAGCGACGAGCGAAAAAAAAAAAAAAAUGAGCAAAUCGAGGAACGAUGGGCGAGGCGAGGCUGAAAGCGAGGGCUUUGCUCCCUUGAGAACCGCAAAUUAGGCUUGCGACCGACAGAGAUAGCGAAAGAUCAUCGAGGAAGAAUUCCGACAGGCGGGUGCCCGCCAUACAUCUUGCUCCACUCGACAGCCCGUCUAAGAAAAAAUAAAAAAAGGAGCCGUGACCGAUUACUAAUUAAUGUCAAUCAGCUUCCAAGCGUAAUUAUUCGGCGCGUUAUGGGCGCGCUCGCAAUUAGAUGUCCGCGUAUGUAACGUCUGAUGACCGUUGCGUCAAAUAUUUAUACAAUCGCGUAAUUAUUCCCGCGUCAAACGUAAUUCGCUCCGCAUCGCCAAUGUGGGAGAGAUCGUUAGGGGCCUACUUCGCCGCCUUCGCGCUUCAAGGAAGGACAAACCAAGUUUGUGCAUCACGUUCGGGUCACUGAUGGUGGUAUACUGAUGGAGCAGACCGUUAUGAGUCGGUAUGAGCCGCAGGGGGAGAGGCAUUAUGCAUAGCUACGGGCGUAAUCCCGAGCUACUUCUAAGAAACGAUCGCUCAUUGAUCCUCAGUCCUCCCUCGCCUCCCUCGCCCCCCUCCGUCCCCGGCGACACGGGUCACGUCUGGAUAACGGUCCCCCCGGCAAAAGGACACGUGCCUCUAAACUGCGCGCACAGGCUAAUCAACCUGACACUCGCGUAGGAAACCGCUAUUGUGAUCGGGCGAUUCCUUCCGUGCGCGGCGGAUUGACGGCUGUCUUACGGUAAAUCCUCCGGAUAUAGGGCCUUCGUGCGAACGAAAUGAGACACGAAUAAGGACGACCGGAAUACGGUUUAUCGAUGUGUCGGAGCGUUUGACCCCUGCUCGCGCCGAGAUGGAUUCGAUCGUAGCGAGAUUUAUGGUGAUUCUCUCCAAUUUUUUGCGCUAGACCGCCAGCGUCUCGCGAGCCGGACGGACCAUCUUCCAAGGAAGAUUUAUCGCUACAAGACGGUACAUUAGCGUUUAUCGGAAUCUGCGGUGUUCCCGUCGCGUUUACGACGCGAAAUACAUUCUCGGAAAAAUCUCGUACUCCUUGACACGCGCGAAUGCGUGUCUCAAUCCACGCGGGUUUAUCGUCGCGUCAUCGUUUAACAUAGUCGGUCAAGGAACGCGCGAUCGUCGCAACGGCGCGGCGGCUCGUCCGUCGUAUAAUUUAUGAACACCGCAGCCGUAACGUAACGUAAUCUUAAUAGUCCAUUACCUCGUGAAUCAUCAAACAUACAGGUUUAUUAACGCGAACGUUUGCAAGAUUGCACGAAGGGGAAAAGACCUUAAUUAGGCGAUCGAGCUCGCGCGCUUGUGUGUGCAUGUGAAGUUCGUUCGGUGAAGCUGUACUUUCUCUGUUCUUCGCGCCGCGAGUCUCGGUUUCAACGGUCGUUAAAAUUUUGCACGAUGAGCUACUGACCGGUAAGUUGCUGUCGCUACCGUAACGAGAGUUUCGCAGUGCGUCUAUCCGCGUCGAGAGCCCUUCGAUCAGGGCGAUCGUCGCAACCAAUCACCCUUUCCCUCUUGAAAUAACGAAAUAAAAGCGUUAUUAAUAAAUGCACAACGAAGUAUUUCGAAAAAUCGCGAAUAAAUAAACUUAAGAGACUAAAACUUAUUUCGCCACGCGCCUUACGUCGUCUCGUAAUUUGGCGACUUGAUUUUCCAUGCGUUCACACUUCUCAGCGCGUCUAUCCGCGUCGAUAGGCCCCUCAGGGCGAUCGUCGCAACCAAUAACCCUACCCCCUUGAAAUAAAGAAGUAAAAGCAUUAUUUGACUACAACUCGAUUAAGUAAUACCGUUCAUUAAACUCAGCCGUUUUUAUCUAAAAUAAAAAAA